AUGAGGGAACCGGUCAGGAUUUGGCAGGGCGAUGCAUUUCUCAGAACACUUCCUUCUCCCUGCUUUUUCUGUCUUCACUAAUAUUUAUUCUUGGGUUUCUAUUUUGUUUUAGAGAGUUUGCAAAACUGCUGUUUUGGGACCGAAGGGAAUAUUCUGCUGUGAAAGAACGUUUUAUGGACUUCAUACAACUGGGACCUUCAACACCGUCACCACCCUUGAAGCAACUGGGGGGCGGGGUGCAGCCGAGUGGGGCUGGUGCACAGCUGUGGCGGACUCCUGGCAUUCUCCACUCCUGGCCAGGCAGCUCUGGAAUCUGGAACAGGACAGGACAUGGUGGGAGCUGCAGGUGGUCCUGAUGUCAUUAAGAGUGAAGAAGAGGUUGAGAGUUUUUGGCUAUCUGCACUCAAUGGGGGAUGUGAAGGAUUCAUUGCAUGGGCUUAUGAAUCUCCAGAUGGCCUCAAAUGUACCAUGUGACUGGGGACAACCUCAUUCUCCUUGUCUCCAUUUCCCAAGUGCUGGGAUCUCAGAUAUGCCUGCCUGCAGAGAUUUCAUAAUGCCCUCAACUCUAUGGAGGAGGCCAGAAGAAGGUGUGAGAUCCCCUGGAACCGGAAUCACAGACAAUGGUGAGCUGCUGUAUAGAGACCCAGAUGAUCUGUCUAGGACUUUCAGACAAAGGUCUCACUCUUGAGAAUGAUGGGAAAGAAAGGCAAGGAACACCGGCCCUUGGAUGACAGUAUGGAGGAGAGCCCUCAGCCUGCCUGGAAUGCAGAGGUUGUUUGAAGUGGCAAGGUAUGGCCGCUAAGGCCCUCCCGAAACAUCAUGUCAUCCUGGAAUGUGGGCUGAAGAGAACCUUUGACCUCUGAACUGGGGAGAAGAUGGAUAAUGGCUCGAAGAUCUCCCAGCUUCUCAACCUUUGUCAGUCUGAGAACACAAUCUGGCAGCUGAGUGAUGUGUGUUCGAGGCUGGACCCCAAGAAUGUGGGGCUUGUAUUCACGUCAACAUACAACAACCCAAAGAAAACAAAAAUAAAAGCAAAAUCCAAAAACCAAACCAAAACCCUACACACAAGGAAAAGAAAAAAAAAAAAACCCAAAAAACUCAUUGGGGU